GAGUUUGAUCAUGGCUCAGGAUGAACGCUAGCGGCAGGCCUAACACAUGCAAGUCGAGGGGUAACAGGGAGCUUGCUCCGCUGACGACCGGCGCACGGGUGCGUAACGCGUAUACAAUCUACCUUGUACUGAGGGAUAGCCCAGAGAAAUUUGGAUUAAGACCUCAUAGUAUUAUGUUGUUGCAUGAUGAUAUAAUUAAAGGUUACGGUACAAGAUGAGUAUGCGUCCCAUUAGCUAGUUGGUGAGGUAACGGCUCACCAAAGCUACGAUGGGUAGGGGCCCUGAGAGGGGGAUCCCCCACACUGGUACUGAGACACGGACCAGACUCCUACGGGAGGCAGCAGUGAGGAAUAUUGGACAAUGGGCGGAAGCCUGAUCCAGCCAUGCCGCGUGCAGGACGACUGCCCUAUGGGUUGUAAACUGCUUUUAUACGGGAAGAAUAAGCCCCACGUGUGGGGUGUUGACGGUACCGUAAGAAUAAGGACCGGCUAACUCCGUGCCAGCAGCCGCGGUAAUACGGAGGGUCCGAGCGUUAUCCGGAAUCAUUGGGUUUAAAGGGUCCGUAGGCGGGCCGUUAAGUCAGAGGUGAAAGUUUGUGGCUCAACCAUAAAAUUGCCUUUGAUACUGACGGUCUUGAGUUAUAGUGAAGUGGCUAGAAUAUGUAGUGUAGCGGUGAAAUGCAUAGAUAUUACAUAGAAUACCGAUUGCGAAGGCAGGUCACUAACUAUAAACUGACGCUGAUGGACGAAAGCGUGGGGAGCGAACAGGAUUAGAUACCCUGGUAGUCCACGCCGUAAACGAUGGAUACUAGCUGUCCGGUUUUAGGACUGGGCGGCCAAGCGAAAGUGAUAAGUAUCCCACCUGGGGGAGUACGUUCGCAGAAUGAACUCAAAGGAAUUGACCGGGGCCGCACAAGCGGUGAAGCAUGGUGUUUAUCGAUGAUACGCGAGACUACAGGCUAAUUGGCAUGACAGUCUAGAGAAUAGAUUUUCUCGACAUUUCAGUGCCUGCAUGUGUCGUCAGCUCGUGCCGUGAAGGUUCAGGAUAAGUCUAACGAGGCAAUCAUACGUAUGCAGCAGUUAGAUGGGACCUUACGGAACUGCGGUCAAUCCU
rnacentral:rRNA from 1 species